AUUGAACGCUAGCGGGAUGCCUUAUACAUGCAAGUCGAACGGCGUGGCGAACGGGUGGGUACUGUAUCGGAACGUGCCCAGUAGCGGGGGAUAACUACGCGAAAGAGUAGCUAAUACCGCAUACUAUUGGGGCGGCCGAGGUCGGCUUAGCUAGUUGGUGGGGUAACGGCUCACCAAGGCGACGAUGCCUAGCUGGUCUGAGAGGACGACCAGCCACACUGGGACUGAGACACGGCCCAGACUCCUACGGGAGGCAGCAGUGGGGAAUGUUCGGCAAUGGGGGAAACCCUGAUCGAGCCAUCCCGCGUGUGCGAUGAAGGUCUUCGGGUUGUAAAGCACUUUUGGCAGGAAAGCGGUACCUGCAGAGUAAGCACCGGCUAACUACGUGCCAGCAGCCGCGGUAAUUC
rnacentral:rRNA from 1 species